rnacentral:sRNA from 1 species
UAACGGGAGCAUCGUGCCCGUGCCGCCCAC